rnacentral:rRNA from 1 species
AUUGAACGCUGGCGGCAGGCCUAACACAUGCAAGUCGAACGAGUGGCGGACGGGUGGGUAAUGUCUGGGAAACUGCCUGAUGGAGGGGGAUAGCUACUGGAAACGGUAGCUAAUAACGCAUACCAUCGGAUGUGCCGAGAUGGGAUUAGCUAGUUGGUGGGGUAACGGCUCACAAAGGCGACGAACCCUAGCUGGUCGGAGAGGAUGACCAGCCACACUGGAACUGAGACACGGUCCAGACUCCGACGGGAGGCAGCAGUGGGGAAUAUUGCACAAUGGGCGCAAGCCUGAUGCAGCCAUGCCGCGUGUAUGAAGAAGGUCUUCGGGUUGUAAAGUACUUUCAGCUGGGAGGCGUUACCCGCAGAAGAAGCACCGGCUAACUCCGUGCCAGCAGCCGCGGUAAUAC